AAACCGGGCACUACGGUGAGACGUGAAAACACCCGAUCCCAUUCCGACCUCGAUA
rnacentral:rRNA from 1 species